AUGUCGUCGUGCCAAAACGUGAAGCUGAGCCAUAGUCGAGGACUACACCACUGUGGAGAUCAUCAGCUUUGGUGUGUGUUGUUGAGCGUCUCCUCCCUCUGCCCCUCCUCCUGUCUCUCUUAUAGCACGUCCCUGCAGUCUCUCCUUUAUCUGCUCCUCACGCUGCUCAUCUCUUCACUCAGCACGAGAGUCCCAUCACACACAGACACCAUGCUGCCAGCGCUCUGCUCUCUCUUCACUGCUCUCUCAUGUGUCAGUGGUGUGACUGUGGUGACGCAGAAGCCUCCUGUUCUCACACUGACUCAAGGACAGACGGCCACCAUGGACUGUAACCUGGGGAUUGUUACAAAAAGUGGUGCACGCUGGUACAAACAGGUUCCUGAAGGAGUUCCUCAGUUUUUGCUACAUAACUAUCAUGAAUGGAGCUCUCCUCGAUAUGGAUCUGGUUUCUCAUCACCUAAAUUCACAUCAACACACUCCUCUAAAUCAGAUUAUAAACUGAUUAUUAGUAAUGUGGAGGUUGGAGACUCAGCAGUGUAUUACUGUAACACAUGGGACGACUCUGCUAAAGAGCAUGUAUCACAGUGA